rnacentral:lncRNA from 1 species
GUGGGAAGCAGAUGCUUACAGGGAGCAGCAGCCGAUGGUCCCCAAGCACGUGGAUCCUUGUUGACUCCAGGCCCAGCUCUGCCUCCUCGGCAGCCAGCCUUAGCCUGGAGGAGCAACCCAGGUCCAGAGAGGCAGAUGAAUGACAGCCCUGCCCCUGUCGGGCCCCAUUUCUUCUCCUCCAUUCUCUUCCAGGCUCCACCACCCCCUCACAAGUCCCAAGGAAGCCAUGAGCUGCCACAUCACACCAGGAACGAAGCAGGCUACAUUGGAGGGAUGAGGAAACUGAGGCCAGAUUUGAGUAUCUAUUUAUUGAAGGCGUCACAAGGCAUAUGAGGUUAUGCAAAGACAAAUGAGCAAAAUAACUCCUUAUGAACCCGCCUGAGCUGAGAGCCCAGGCUCCCUGACUCCUGGUGCUGCAAUCCUACAUGACACUGCUUUGCAUCCUCAACUCCAAAGGAGGAGCCUGGGCCAGGGGAAGAAGUUUCCACCAGAGGAUGGUGCUUGAGGAAGGAGUAAAGAAAGGAGCUCUGGGCGAUUCUGUGAUGGAGUAGAUUGUCACCUGGCACGUAUGCAUAUGGGAUGUGCAGCCUGGUCUCUAGGUAUGUGCACAUGUUGCUGUUUUAUAAGAUGAGUUUGGAAAAGGCAUAUGCUGAGGGUAACUUUCAGGGUCAUGCACAUUAGCAUGGGUGCUGACAGCGAGCAAGGGACAGGAAGAAGGGAAGAGGAAGAGAAGCAUGUCUUUAUGUGGAGGUGUGGGCAGCGUCUGAUAGCACAAAAGAAAUUGUAUAGACAGGUUCAUAGAUGUAUCCGUGAGCAUGAGCCUGGUGUACUGGGUGUACAAGGUGUAUAGGCAAGGGUGAGGAAGUAUGUAAAGAAAACUAGCACCAACUGGAGAAGGGCUCCUGGAGCUCCGCUGAGACGGCAGGUCAGCGCUCCUCGGUUCUCCUUUCCCAGGCAUUCUUAGAGGGUGUUCCUCCCUGGGACAAAGAGAUGAACAGGCAGCCCCGAGAGGCCUGUGCUGUCUGGCGGUGCCUCUGGCCUCCCCUCCCAAUUCCACAGAGGACCUGAGCAGAUCAAUUAUAGCUAAGAACAUUUCAAUUCCGGCCUGGAGGUCCUGAGGAGGUCCUGGGAAAGCAGAAGGAGAAAGUUGCACGGAUUCCAAAGGAGGAUUUAGAGUUGGCAGAUCUUCUCCCUGGGCACCCGAAGUGUCCAGUCCCAAAGCCAGACCCUGAGCCCCCUGAUUGGUGAUGAAGCUGUUGCCAGGCCAGAAGCUUAAAGGCCAAGGGUCACAUUAGGAACAACCCACUUCCACCCUCAUCCCACCCCAAACAGCCACAGCCCACAGCAGCUGCAGCUCCUCUACCCUGCGAGCAGGGGCCCCAAGCAGAGAAUGGGCAGGGGAGGCCUCCUCCAUGUGGGGCACCACUUCCCAGAUGUGUGCCGUGAGUCCCCAGGAACAGAGAGCCCUCACACGCCCACACUCAGGGCCAGCUGCCCUAGGGUGGGUCAGCACAAAGAAGCCCACUUCCCCUCCACCUCUGGGUGUGUGGGCUGCGCUGAGCCCUCCCCAAGGGAACUGUGAUUGGUAAGGCUGUAAACUCUGCUGAGCAGGCAGCCUCGGCUUCAGUCACAAAAAGGGGUGCUAAAUCCCAAUCCCAGAGCAACCCCAGCCCCAGCCAUCGGCCCAGGGGGAGUGGAGUAAUGCAGACGGAGGAGGGCCUGAGGUCUGGGCUGGCCAGGAGCGCUCCAAGCGGCAGCUGGGUGUUUUCCUCCCCAGGGCUCCGGCCCCAGCACCACUGGGCGCAGCACCUGGAGGCUGCUCUCCCCCUCCCCCUCUACAGGAGACACACCCGUAUGGCGCCAUUCUGGGCACAGCAGAGCUGGAAGGAACCUCCGCUCUACUUCAGUGUCCCUGCCCCUCCUCAUUUCACAAAUGAGAAAGCUGGGACACCAAAGAAAGGAAGGGAUUUGGCCAAGGUCACAGAGCUCACUGUGGCCGCACCAAGAUUAUCACUUGUUAGGAUUUUUGCAGAUGGGUUUUUCCACAGUUUGGUAGAAUGGACUUAGAAAUUUUCAGAAGGCUAGACAGUCUGGGCCAAGCGGCCAGCUUCCCAUGGCCACACAGCUAGUACAGGACGCUGUGAUUAAAUGGCACUGAGGAUCUCCUGCUGGGAAGCACACUGAUGGCCUGUCAGGGCAGCCUGGCUGCCGCCCCACCCUGAGAACAGCGGCUCUGAACCCACAGGCCACGCGCCAGCUCCCUGGGCGCAGCAGCCCCUCAAACUGUAGGCAGAUCUCUGAGUGUGUGCGCUCUGGCCAUUUUUCUAGAGAGAAGUUCAAGCUUUAAUUGAUUUACAAAGAGAUGC